GAAAGCCAAGAGAACAUGUUUUUUCGAUCAUGAAAAGGUUAUUUUCGAAUCAGUUACAGUCCAAAUUAAAUC
rnacentral:lncRNA from 1 species